rnacentral:rRNA from 1 species
CACGUAGGGCGCAAGCGUUGUCCGGAAUUAUUGGGCGUAAAGCGCUCGUAGGCGGUCUGUUACGUCUGCUGUGAAAACCCGGGGCUUAACCCUGGGCUUGCAGUGGAUACGGGCAGACUAGAGGCAGGUAGGGGAGAGUGGAAUUCCCGGUGUAGCGGUGAAAUGCGCAGAUAUCGGGAGGAACACCAGUAGCGAAGGCGGUUAGCUGGGCAGUUGCUGACACUGAGGCGCGACAGCGUGGGGAGCAAACAGG